GUGGGGAAUAUUGGACAAUGGGGGCAACCCUGAUCCAGCGAUGCCGCGUGGGUGAAGAAGGCCUUCGGGUUGUAAAGCCCUUUAGGCCGGGAAGAAGUGUAGUGGUUUAAGAGAUAGCUACAUUGACGGUACCGGCAGAAUAAGCACCGGCAAACUCUGUGCCAGCAGCCGCGGUAAUACAGAGGGUGCGAGCGUUAAUCGGAAUUACUGGGCGUAAAGGGCGCGUAGGCGGUUAGGUGAGUGUGAUGUGAAAGCCCUGGGCUUAACCUAGGAAGUGCAUCGCAAACGACCUAACUGGAGUAUAUGAGAGGGUGGUGGAAUUUCCGGUGUAGCGGUGAAAUGCGUAGAUAUCGGAAGGAACGUCAAUGGCGAAGGCAGCCACCUGGCAUAAUACUGACGCUGAGGCGCGAAAGCGUGGGGAUCAAACAGGAUUAGAAACCCCAGUAGUCC
rnacentral:rRNA from 1 species